CAAGGAUAUGAUACAUUGAGUUCAGUUACAAGGUAUUAAGUCACCAUAAUCCCUACACUGGAUAUCAUGAUGGAGAAAAUAACACAUGUUCCUCCUCUCAGUCUGUACAUGAAAAGAUUUCUUUUACAUAACUCUCAUGAUAGCAACCAUCACAUUGUGAGAGAGAGCAUGGAAUGAAGAACUUUUUAUGUGGAUAGGAUAAUCACGAUUUUGAACCAGCUCUUACAUAGCCCUGGCUCAAAUUGGAACAAAGGCUAAGUUUGAGAACUGUGCGUAUUGAUUAGUUUAGUAACCAGCUGUUUUAAAGAUAAAUAGCAUCAGUGAGGACCAGAACCUAGCAUAAAAACAAUGCUGCUCACUAGUUAAAUGCUUGCUCAUUGUAUUCUCUGUAAUUUUACAUUGACGUCAAACUGAACAAACCACGAUUCAUUCAAAUUAGAUUUUCCAGCAUCUCAUAUGUCAGUUGCACAGCUAAUAAUGAAAUAAUUGUCAUCAUUUGUGCUGUUAUUGCAGCAUUAACAUUGACAUUUUUAUGUAGAACUGAAUUAAAAUGACCGGAUUAGCUGUCUGUAGAGCAUUGUCAUUGUAUCAAUAAGAAUUUGAUAGAUUGUUUCAUUUCCUGCUUAUUAAAAGAUCCUUGACUCCCCAGUUUUCCAUGUUAUUUUCAGCCCUCUUUGGGCAGUUUCAUAUUAAUGUCUAAUUCUUGGCUGUAAGAGUGAGUGGAUGCAAUCUCUUCCCAGGCCAUUACAGUGAGCUGCCUAUUUCAAAACCCUUCCCUUUCACUGUGGAAGAUUUUGAACUCUGCUCAUUGCCUCUUUCAAAUUGCCUGACUGGAUUAUAAACGGAUAGCUGCCCAAAAAGAUUAUAGGUUUGACUUGGUUGCUGUAAUGACACAGCAAGGUUAAACAUUCACUGGAGAAAAAAAAGUAGUUAAUCAGCUUUCAUUCAGUGACCAAAUUUUAACAAUGUGCGUUCUCGAUUUCAGGCGGUAGACACGGUUAGGAUUUAUCAGGAUUUCACUUACAUUUUCAGUCGAGUUAAAAUCUGCUCUCUGCAAAGCUGAAGAUCUGAUCCCAAUCUACACGGAUUUCUCGACAAUCAAAAAAUGGAUCUAAAUGUUCUUCAGAGGGAGGACAGGAACAGACAUGACACAGCCUGCAAUUCUGAAGAAAAUGGGUGAGGAAAUAGGUCUAUUUUGACAGCAACCUCUCCUACUUUUUAAGCUGCGGUGUUUUGUGGUGUUUUGAAGUGAGUGAGUGGAAGGAGAUUGAUCAGGUGUUUAUUUCUAAGAAGAGCCAGAAGUGGUGUCCAGCAACACUGGCAUGCUGCAACCUGCACAAUUGGAGCCAACAAAGUAGGGAAACCAGCUAGAUACAGAUGAUGGAGCAGAAUGAUAGUAUUGUACAAAGGAUGAAGAUGAAGCUGAGGAUCAGGACUUUGAACAGAAUGACUGUCCAUGAAAGAACAAUGCAUUGUCAUGCCCACAAGGCCAGAGAUAAUUUAGUUGAAACCUGUUUUAGGGAUGAAUAUUGGGUUUGGACUUUGUUUGAUUGUUGC